GUUGGGCGUGGUGGUGGGCGCCUGUAAUCCCAGCUACUUGGGAGGCUGAGACAGGAGAAUUGCUUGAACCCGGGAGGUGGAGGUUGCAGUGAGCCCAGAUCGCGCCACUGCACUCCAGCCUGGGUGACAGAGCGAGACUCUGUCUCAA
ensembl:misc_RNA Metazoa_SRP Metazoan signal recognition particle RNA